rnacentral:rRNA from 1 species
CAAUAGCGUAUAUUAAAGUUGUUGCGGUUAAAAAGCUCGUAGUUGGAGUUCUGCCAGGUGCCGCCUGUCCGCCCCAGUGGUGAGUACGUGGCGCGCAUUUGGCCCUUUCAAGGGGAGCGUAUCUGCACUUUAUUGUGUGGUGCGGGAUCCUUGACUUUUACUUUGAGGAAAUAGGAGUGUUCCAAGCAGGCUCUCGUCGUGCACAGCUCAGCAUGGAAUAAUAGCAUUGGACCUCGAUUCUAAGCUGUUGGUUGCCAGAAGCGAGGUAAUGAUGAAGAGGGAUAGUUGGGGGCAUUCGUAUUUAACUGUUAGAGGUGAAAUUCUUGGAUUUGUUAAAGACGGACUACUGCGAAAGCAUCUGCCAUGGAUGUUUUCAUUGA